GACGAACGCUGGCGGCGUGCUUAACACAUGCAAGUCGAACGGAAAGGCCCCCACUUUUUUGGUGGGGGUGCUCGAGUGGCGAACGGGUGAGUAACACGUGGGUGAUCUGCCCUGUACUUCGGGAUAAGCUUGGGAAACUGGGUCUAAUACCGGAUAGGACCAUGGUUUAGUGUCUCAUGGUGGAAAAAUUAUUGUUUUGGUGCAGGAUGAGCUCGCGGCCUAUCAGCUUGUUGGUGGGGUAAUGGCCUACCAAGGCGUCGACGGGUAGCCGGCCUGAGAGGGUGGACGGCCACAUUGGGACUGAGAGACGGCCCAGACUCCUACGGGAGGCAGCAGUGGGGAAUAUUGCACAAUGGGCGCAAGCCUGAUGCAGCGACGCCGCGUGGGGGAUGACGGCCUUCGGGUUGUAAACUCCUUUCGUUAGGGACGAAGCCGCACCUUUUUUGGGUGUGGUGACGGUACCUUUGUGAAGAAGCACCGGCUAACUACGUG
rnacentral:rRNA from 1 species